ensembl:lncRNA
AUCAACACAUUUAUAUUUCUAGAUGCUGCACUUUGCUGUUUCAUUACCCAGACAGCUGUUUAAGGUCAGACCAAGGCAGAGUGUAGUAUCAGUACUUAGGGGUCAUAGGUCAUACCAAGGCAGAGUGUAGUAUCAGUACUUAGGGGUCAUAGGUCAUACCAAGGCAGAGUGUAGUAUCAGUACUUAGGGGUCAUAGUGGUCAUGGCUGAUAUACAUGGACUAGAAAACAAACUUUAAGACCAUUUUUCUAAGAUUCACUGUUUGUGUAGAUGCUGUUUGUCUCUUUAGGACUGUAGUUCAGGUGGCUGUUUGUGUAGAUGCUGUUUGUCUCUUUAGGACAGUAGUUCAGGUGGCUGUUUGUGUAGAUGCUGUUUGUCUUUACUAGGACAGUAGUUCAGGUGGCUGUUUGUGUAGAUGCUGUUUGUCUCUGUAGGACAGUAGUUCAGGUGGCUGUUUGUGUAGAUGCUGUUUGUCUUUGUAGGACAGUAGUUCAGGUGGUUGUUUGUGGAGAUGCUGUUUGUCUCUGUAGGACAGUAGUUCAGGUGGCUGUUUGUGUAGAUGCUGUUUGUCUUUGUAGGACAGUAGUUCAGGUGGCUGUUUGUCUUUGUAGGACAGUAGUUCAGGUGGCUGUUUGUCUUUGUAGGACAGUAGUUCAGGUGGCUGUUUGUCUUUGUAGGACAGUAGUUCAGGUGGCUGUUUGUCUUUGUAGGACAGUAGUUCAGGUGGCUGUUUGUCUUUGUAGGACAGUAGUUCAGGUGGCUGUGUGUCUUCGUAGGACAGUAGUUCAGGUGGCUGUUUGUGUAGAUGCUGUUUGUCUUUGUAGGACAGUAGUUCAGGUGGCUGCCCUUGCACUUAGUCUGCCUCCUGCCCCCCCAUCGUCAUGGUUACACCUUCCUGAAUACAAUGACUCCCAUACUUUGCUGAAACCUGUUCUGCCAG